GUGUCAUGAUGUUGGACAACACAUUAUUCUGACCUAAUAUUAUGGCGAGAAUCUCAUAUAACUGAACACA